ACGGGUGAGUAACACGUGGGUAACCUGCCUCAUAGAGGGGAAUAGCCUUUCGAAAGGAAGAUUAAUACCGCAUAAGAUUGUAGUGCCGCAUGGCAUAGUAAUUAAAGGAGUAAUCCGCUAUGAGAUGGACCCGCGUCGCAUUAGCUAGUUGGUGAGGUAACGGCUCACCAAGGCGACGAUGCGUAGCCGACCUGAGAGGGUGAUCGGCCACAUUGGGACUGAGACACGGCCCAGACUCCUACGGGAGGCAGCAGUGGGGAAUAUUGCACAAUGGGGGAAACCCUGAUGCAGCAACGCCGCGUGAGUGAUGACGGUCUUCGGAUUGUAAAGCUCUGUCUUCAGGGACGAUAAUGACGGUACCUGAGGAGGAAGCCACGGCUAACUACGUGCCAGCAGCCGCGGUAAUACGUAGGUGGCAAGCGUUGUCCGGAUUUACUGGGCGUAAAGGGAGCGUAGGUGGAUGUUUAAGUGGGAUGUGAAAUACUCGGGCUUAACCUGGGUGCUGCAUUCCAAACUGGAUAUCUAGAGUGCAGGAGAGGAAAGUAGAAUUCCUAGUGUAGCGGUGAAAUGCGUAGA
rnacentral:rRNA from 1 species